CGAAGGGUGCUAGCGUUGUUCGGAAUCACUGGGCGUAAAGCGCGCGUAGGUGGCUUUCAAGUCAGGGGUGAAAUCCCACGGCUCAACCGUGGAACUGCCUCUGAAAACUGUAAAGCUUGAGUGUCGGAGGGGAUAGCGGAAUUGCUAAUGUAGAGGUGAAAUUCGUAGAUAUCAGGAGGAACACCGGUGGCGAAGGCGGCUUCCUGGACACUAACUGACGCUGAGACGCGAAAAGCGUGGGGAGCAAACAGGAUUAGAUACCCUGGUAGUCCACGCCGUAAACGAUGAGUGCUGGGUGUCGCGGGUUUUGACCCCUGCGGUGCCGUAGCUAACGCGUUAAGCACUCCGCCUGGGGAGUACGGCCGCAAGGCUA
rnacentral:rRNA from 1 species